AUCACUCCAUACCCCGACUCGAUCCUGCUAUGUUCUCACCUCCUUAGAAGAAAAAUGGAACAAAAAGGAAAGGGUGAGCUCAACUAGCCCAGUAAAGAAUAUUAUGACUAAGAUGAUAUACAACAAAUUAUCGUUAGUCUUCAACAGGGAAAAAUCUGAUAUAAUAGACAACAAGUUUUAGAUCAAUAAAUGCAGCGGAACAGCAAUCCAUUAGAAGAGUCACGUAGAGAAAGAAUUCUACUGUCUUCUAAGGUUUAAAAGUCCAUCAUCAAUAUUUUAUCCCUGUAACAACAAUCAAUAUUCAUCUUUAAUCAUCUUUGCACUACAGGCCAAAGAUAUUCAUUUGUAUCACCAGUUGGUCAUGUUCAUCUCAACACCUGUUCAUCUUUGCACUACAGGCCAAAGAUAUUCAUCAGUUAAUCGUUCAUCUUUGCACUACAGGCCAAAGAUAUUCAUUUAUAUCACCAUUUAGGACUGAGGAUGAUGAAAAACAUUUUUAAAGAAACGAAUCCAGUGAAACAAAAUGACAAGGAUUAAGGAUUAAGGAUUCGUACUUUGUUUUACCCAUGUCCAAAAAUACUUCGAAAAUAAUCAUAUUGGUGUAAAAUUCAAGAAUGAUCAAAACAUGGAUACAAUCAAAGCUAGUAUCCAGAAUAGAUAUUUUGGACAAAAAGAAAAAUUUUUAUUUUUCGGUGAAUAGUGCCGUAUUCGUGAAUAGUGUCGUAUACGUGAAUAGUGCCGUAUACGUGAAUAGUAACCCCGACACAACAAGUUCCAAAUUUGAUAAAAAAGUUCACCAAUACUUCGGCAUAAUGAUAUUGAAGAAAAAAUAUCAUUUAAGAAGAAAAUAAUACCCCUUACCUCAAAAUAACCGUACUUCUGACUGAAUUUCGGUAUAGUGCUGACAGAAACCCGCACCGUAUAGCAACACUCAAAGUAUACUCACAAGAAUACGCUCGAUAAUUUAGAGAGAGAAAGAGAGAAAACUU
rnacentral:lncRNA from 1 species